UGGGGGAUAUUGCACAAUGGGCGAAAGCCUGAUGCAGCGACGCCGCGUGGGGGAUGAAGGCUUUCGGGUUGUAAACCUCUUUCGCUAUCGAACAAGGCCCGCUUAGGGUGGGUUGAGGGUAGGUGGAGAAGAAGCGCCGGCUAACUACGUGCCAGCAGCCGCGGUAAUACGUAGGGCGCGAGCGUUGUCCGGAAUUAUUGGGCGUAAAGGGCUUGUAGGCGGCUUGUUGCGCCUGCUGUGAAAACGCGGGGCUUAACUUCGCGCGUGCAGUGGGUACGGGCAGGCUUGAGUGUGGUAGGGGUGACUGGAAUUCCAGGUGUAGCGGUGGAAUGCGCAGAUAUCUGGAGGAGCACCGAUGGCGAAGGCAGGGCACUGGGCCAUUACUGACGCUGAGGAGCGAAAGCAUGGGUAGCGAACAGG
rnacentral:rRNA from 1 species